rnacentral:rRNA from 1 species
UACGGAGGGGGCUAGCGUUGUUCGGAAUUACUGGGCGUAAAGCGCACGUAGGCGGCUUUGCAAGUUAGAGGUGAAAGCCCGGAGCUCAACUCCGGAAUAGCCUUUAAGACUGCAUCGCUAGAACGUUGGAGAGGUAAGUGGAAUUCCGAGUGUAGAGGUGAAAUUCGUAGAUAUUCGGAAGAACACCAGUGGCGAAGGCGACUUACUGGACAACUGUUGACGCUGAGGUGCGAAAGCGUGGGGAGCAAACAGG